rnacentral:sRNA from 1 species
GCUGGGCGUGGUGGCGUGCGCCUGUAAUCCCAGCUACUCAGGAGGCUGAGGCAGGAGAAUCGCUUGAACCCAGGAGGCAGAGGUUGCAGUGAGCCGAGAUUGUGCCACUGGACUCCAGCCUGGGUGACAGAGUGAGACUCCGUCUCAA